rnacentral:lncRNA from 1 species
AUUCGAAUCGAUAAUAACACUUGAAAGUUGAAGAAAUGUAUAAAAGGCAGUACAGGUAUUCGUGUGAGAAGAAGAGAGUGGCUCUCUGUAGAAGUGUGUGUGUGCGUGUGAGAGAGAGACACAAGAUGAACUUGACCAACCGAGCUAAAGCAUACGCUAUGACUCCAUUUAGAGUGCUAGAGAAAUAGCUGUGUUGUAUAUUUUAUUUUUACUAAGAAAAAUCAGGUGGGUAUAGUACAUAAUUUAAAUCUAUUUAGUAUUAGAUCCUUGAAUUUCCCCGUUCAGAGUUUCCUUGAUGGAUGCAGCAGAGGGCAACAACUAAUACUUCCUUUCAUCACAGAUUAUUUGGUCUAUAAAAUGCUGUGAAAUAGUGAAAAUGGCCAUCACAAUUGUGUAAAGCCCAAGGUGAAGUCGUUAAAUUACAUCCUUUUUCCGACCAACAGUCCUCAUAUUCCUAGGUCAAACCUAAAGACAUUUUGUUCACUGUAGCAGAGACAAAAAGUAGUAAAUCCUGGUAAGCUGGAAGAAGGAAAUUCUCACACUGCUAGUCAACUUUAACACCAAGUGGGGCAUCACAGGUCAAAGGAAUCUAAUUUAUCAUUUGUAUGGAGAGGAGCAACCACUCUUUGAAUGUAAAUAUGGCAAAACAAGAAAAAGCCAACCUACAACUUGAUCCAGAGGAGGUCAUUCACAGUGUUAUGCCAAUUAAUAUCCUAAAAAAGACAAAUCCGGGUACGAGCCUACAAAUGCAAGUGCCACCCAUAAUGGAAAGGUCGACUAAUUAGGGAGCUAUUUUCGAUCAGUCGACUAUUACAAAGUGACAGCGAUACAAGUUGGUCUCUGUCAAGACUUCUCCUGUGGGGGGCAAAAUGAACGAGAAGGGAGAGGAGAGACGAGGAGACAAGAGGGGUAAAUCUGAAAUAAUGAUGGAAGACAAUCUGGUGGAGUCGAUUCUCUGAGGUAUCAUCAUUUCAGCUUCUUUUACACCUAACACUUAUUCAAAAAAGCUCUGAGAGUGUAACAGCAUGCAGUGAGACAGAGGAGUCUUCAGCUGUUUCAUCUAGCUAUAUAAAAUGUGUAUGCGAUGUGUUCAUGCAAUAUGGUAUGUAUCUAAAAGGGACAACUAAUCCAGCAUCCUCUCAUCAGUCGUGAUGCACAGGCCCCAUAAAUCUGUAGAAUAUAGUGAGGCUUCGGAAUAAGAUCAUCUCUGAAUUUACUUCGUCUCAAAAAUGCCUUGCAAGGCAGACUGAAUAAAAUGCAAUAUGUG